GGGCCAUAGCUCAGUGGCAGAGUCCUUGCUUUGGAUGCACAAGGUCCCAGGUUCAAUCCCAGCCAUCUCCA